GAGGGUGUGUUUUUCCAGCAAUUGAAGUACUUUUUCCCUGUUUUUAGAAGUUGGGAUUUAGGUCCAUGUGUUUUUCCAACCAUUGAAGCUUUUUAUUUUGUUGAUGUUUUUAGAAGUUGGGAUAAGGGGUUUGUUUCAGCCAUUGAAGCAUUUUUUUGUUGUUGUUUUUAGAUGUUGGGAUAAAGGGGUAUGUGUUUUUCCAACAAUUUGAGCAUUUUUUUUGUUAUUUUUACAAGUUGAGAUUUAGGCCUAUGCGUUUUUCCAGCUAUUGAAGCAUUUUUUUUUUAUAAUUUGGGAUUAGGUGUAUGUUUCAGCUAUUGAAGCUUUUUUUUUGUUGCUGUUUUUAGAUGUUGGGAAAUAGAGGUAUGUGUUUUUUUCAACAAUUGAAGCAUUUUUGUUGUUCUUGGAAGUUGGGAUUUAGGAGUAUUUUUUUUCCUCAACAAUUGAAUAAUAUUUUUGUUCUUUGUAGAAGUUGGGAUAUAGAAGGUGUGUUUUUUCAAAAAUUGAAGCUUUUUAUGUUGUUUUUAGAAGUUGGAUUUAGGAUGUUUCUUUUUCCUACAUUUUUUUUCAAAAAUAUUUUGUUUUUCUUACCAAUCUUCAUAAAAUAACUAGAACUAACCACAUGUAGUUUCUACAAACUAUUUUUUUUUCAAAACAUUUGUAAUCGAGAGGAUUUAUGAGCAUAUCUUUAAUGUUUAUUGAAUUAUAAGUAAUUUUUGGACUCUUUGAAGCAUUUGUUUUUGUUGUUUUUACAAGUUGGGACUUAGGGGUGUUUCUUUUUCCAACAUUUGUUGUUCAAAAAAAAUUAUUUUGUAUCAUAAAUUAGGUCACAAACAUUUGUAAAAUAACUAGAAAUUAACAAAAUAUAACUUCUACAAACGAUUUUCCCGUAAGGUUUGUAAUUGAAAAAAUUUGCGAGUGUUUUAGGAAUGGAA
rnacentral:lncRNA from 1 species